rnacentral:lncRNA from 1 species
UUCUAAGCUGAGGGCAUAUUUAUUUCAUCUUGGUGAGAGCAUGUGAUAUCACUUCUUUAUUAUUUUCUCUCUCAAUUACCAUUCAUUGGAGUGACUAUUUUUAUUGGGAUUAAUUUAUUUGUGAGAGUGUCACUACUUCCAGUGAGAUUUUGGGGUUUGACAUGUCACUCUUGAGAGUAGCUAAAACAAAGUCUACUGGGCUAAUUCAUGUGGAUGGUUGAUGUGGGUGUGAUGUUGCUUUAGACUGGAGAUAAUGCUUAUACUUUUAUUUGAUUGCUAUCAUUAAUCUGAUGGAAUAAAUACGAGUGUUUCUAUUAAAACAAAAAAAAAAUUAUUUUGAAUUUGAAUUUUGUUUUCGCUUUAUUUGCUAGGGACUAGCAAUAAGCUGGUUGGGGGGUGUGUUGAGUGUUAGAAAAUGCAUAUUUAUAAAGGAGAAAACCGUCAUUUUACAUUUCAAGUCUUACUAACAACCCUUACUUUUAUGUAUUUAACAUUCUUAUGAUUUAAUUACGUGUGUUUUAUUUUAAUUAAGUA